rnacentral:SRP_RNA from 1 species
GCCGGGUGCGGUGGCACUUGCCUGUAGUCCCAGCUACUCAGGAGGCUGAGGUGGGAGGAUCACUUGAGCCCAGGAGUUCUGGGCUGUAGUGUGCUAUGCUGAUGGGAUCACAUCAAUAUGGUGACCCCCCUUGGAGUGGGGGACCACCAGGUUGCCUAAGGAGAGCUGAAACGGCCCAGGUCAGAAACGCAGCAGGUCAAAACUCCCAUGCUGAUCAGUAGUGGGAUCACACCUGUGAAUAGCUACUGCACUCCAGCCUGAGCCACAUAGUGAGACCCAAUCUUA